rnacentral:lncRNA from 1 species
UACGAAGCGGAGUCAGUGCAUCUUUCUAAUUAGGAACUGUGUAAAUUCUUCUACUCAACUGUUCUUGUAAUCUAAAUUCAGUAGAUGCUCUGUAUUGCCAUGGUAGAUUUUACUUGUGAGGCCGGAGGCCACUCUAGUAUGACUUGUGUGUGUAUGAAAGCAUGCUGCUGGUUGGGAUUAGUAUUACUGUGUGUUGCAGGUUGAAUAAAUUUUGUUGGGAUUGCUUAAAUUGCAGGGGAGACUCUACCAAAAUUUUGGUAGAAAGUCUCGAUUAUUUAGUAGGUGGGCCCGACAUCGGGAGGAUGUCGGGAUCAAGACGGGGUCCGCCUCGGUCUUCGGGAAAUUCCGGGGCGGGUCCUGUCACAUAGUGGGCUCAAAUUGGAGUUUUAACGAGGAAGUUGUGAUCUACGGAAGUGUAGUGACACAAUCAUAAUUUGGGAGAAGUCAAAAUUUAAAAUACCCCAAGUCAGACCUUCCCACACCAGUACUUGGUGAGUCCCAAGUCUAGUCAGUUCAAGUCCUAAAAAU